AAAUGAAUUGACGGGGGCUCACACAAGCGGUGGAGCAUGUUGCUUAAUUCGAAGCAACGCGAAGAACCUUACCAGGGUUUGACAUGCAUGGAUUAGCUUCUGGAAACAGGAGUGACACCUUCGGGUGGAACAUGCACAGGUGCUGCAUGGCUGUCGUCAGCUCGUGCUGUGAAGUGUCGGGUUAAGUCCCUUAACGAGCGCAACCCCUGUCGCUAGUUGCCAGCGCGUCAUGGCGGGGACUCUAGCGAGACUGCCGGUGUUAAACCGGAGGAAGGUGGGGAUGACGUCAAGUCCUCAUGGCCCUUACAUCCUGGGUUGCAAACGUGCUACAAUGGUGGGUACAAAGCGACGCGAGGCCGCGAGGCGGAGCAAAUCGCAUAAAGCCCACCCCAGUUCGGAUUGCAGUCUGCAACUCGACUGCAUGAAGCCGGAAUCGCUAGUAAUCGCGGAUCAGCCACGCCGCGGUGAAUACGUUCCUGAGCCUUGUACACACCGCCCGU
rnacentral:rRNA from 1 species